rnacentral:SRP_RNA from 1 species
GCUGGGUGCGGUGGCGCGCGCCUGUAGUCCCAGCUACCCGGAAAGCUGAGGCAGGAGAAUAGCUUGAACCCAGGAGGCGGAGGUUGCAGUGAGCUGAGAUGGCAUCACUGUACUCCAGCCUGGGUGACAGAGCAAGACUCUGUCUCAA